UGGGGAAUAUUGCACAAUGGGCGAAAGCCUGAUGCAGCGACGCCGCGUGAGGGAUGACGGCCUUCGAGUUGUAAACCUCUUUCAGUAGGGACGAAGCGCAAGUGACGGUACCUACAGAAGAAGCACCGGCCAACUACGUGCCAGCAGCCGCGGUAAUACGUAGGGUGCGAGCGUUGUCCGGAUUCACUGGGCGUAAAGAGCUCGUAGGCGGUUUGUCACGUCGUCUGUGAAAACCCGAGGCUUAACCUCGGGCCUGCAGGCGAUACGGGCAGACUUGAGUACUGUAGGGGAGACUGGAAUUCCUGGUGUAGCGGUGGAAUGCGCAGAUAUCAGGAGGAACACCGGUGGCGAAGGCGGGUCUCUGGGCAGUAACUGACGCUGAGGAGCGAAAGCGUGGGUAGCGAACAGG
rnacentral:rRNA from 1 species